rfam:Schistosoma curassoni strain Dakar, Senegal genome assembly, scaffold: SCTD_scaffold0000788
GUCCAGCUGACGGGUCCCAAAACAGGACGAAACGCGCGUCCUGAAU